GCCUUGGUGUUGUAGUGGGCAGCACACUCGGCACGUAUUCGAGAGGUCCGUGGUUCGAGUCCCGGCGAAGGCA
rfam:Stegodyphus mimosarum contig38154, whole genome shotgun sequence.